ensembl:lncRNA
UUUUUUUUAUUUUUUUUAUUUUUUUGAAAGAAGGUCUUGCUGUCUUCCCCAGGCUGGAGUGCAGUAGUGCUGUCAUAGCUCACUGAAGCCUCAAAUUCCUAGACUCAAGUGACCCUCCCACCUCAGCCUCCUAAGUAGCUGGGACUACAAGCGCUGUUAGAAAUAGCAAAAUUGUUAGAAAUAGAUAAUCGGUGCCGUGAAGAAAAGUCAGCACAGAGACAGAAGAUCUCUCAGCAAGGCCAUCUUCACUUUCUUCAGAAAGGGUGCUUGAUUGCAGAUGGAACGACGGCGAGAGCACCCGCGAACAAAGGAAAGGCAGACAUAAUUAUCCCUUACGCAUUUGGGUCGUCCUGACCGCUGUGUCCUGCAUCCACUGGCUGGAGCAGGACCUCACAGUCUUUCAGAUUGCUGAAAGCAAUAAUCACGGGGGCCCUGACGCCUCCCACCCGGGCUGUGACCCUGGCCUAGGGCUCCUCUCACCUCCUGCACCCCACAGCCUCUGGGCCAGGCUCUGGCUCCCACCCAGUCCCUGCAGCCGAGGGAAGCUGCUGCCUGCAGGCCUGGGGGCCUCCCUGUCCAGCUGCCCCCUCACCAGCUUCCGGCAGGGUCAGGACAGAGAGGGGGUUGCAAAUCCACUGACCCCAGCGGAAGCCUUGCCGGAGUCUCCCAGGCAUGGGUGGACCCAGGCACCUGGGGCCAGUGGAGAGGCCACGGACAGGGGACAGUGACUGGCUCUGGGCCCCUCUGGGGACCAUCCUGCACUGGUGCCCAUGGGCAGCAGAGGGCACCCCUGACCAUCCCUCCAUGGCGUCCGUGGGAGCCUCAGCAGCCUCAGGGUCCAGGGGCACCCAGCUGUCAACCUGGCUGAGCUUCAGUGGGAGGGGAGGAGGGGGCCUGCGAUUGUGUAGGGACGAGGCUGGGGGAGCAGAGACUCCAGAAACCGUGUCCCACACCCUGUACUGCCCCACACUGUGCAGCCCCCGCCUCCCUCCCAGGGCCCCCCAGCAGCUAGGCUGUGACAACUGCUUGUGUAUCGGGACCUGGCAGGCGGCAGGUCUCUGUGACCUUGGGGCCUGGGGUCCCAAAGCCAGGCUGCCCCUGGUUCCCCCACGGCCAUCUCCAGAGCCACCACCGCCCUGCUCUGCCAACCCCGGCCCUCCCUCUCACUGCAGGGCGGCCUUGGACUCGCUCAGACCCUGAGUUCAGACCCUGGGGUGCAGAGGCUGAUGGCCCGGCGCUGGCCUCCUGCGCCCUCCUCACCCCUGAGGGCUGCUCUCCUGGGCCUGCUCUCCUGAGGGCUAAAGGGCACCCAACCCCUUCCCCAGCUCUGAAACAACCCUCAGAUCCUGAUGCUUUUGGGGUCUCAUGUUUGGGGAGGGAACUGGCGACAGCCCAGGACCCCCAGACCACGGAGGUCGCCCUGCUGAACACAAGGGUCUCUGCCUCCCAAGGGUGGGGACUCCAGAGGCCGGGCACCAGGGAGGGCCUUGCUCUGGGCCCUCCUGCCUGGCUGUGGCUGGCACCCUGGGACCCCAGACCCGGCUCAGAGAAGGGAUGGCUGCAUCUUGCUCCCAGCCUGUCCUGAUCCCAGGCCCUCCGGCCACAGCUCCAUAAGGUGGGCGCCGAGAUGUCCCCGAAGCCCGGAGGCCCUGAACGGAGAUGAGAUCUCUUUCCAUGGACCGGCCGUGUGCCCACCGCACCCUCUCUUUGGGGUUUGAUUG